rnacentral:rRNA from 1 species
GACGAACGCUGGCGGCGUGCUUAACACAUGCAAGUCGAACGGAAAGGCCCUGCUUUUGUGGGGUGCUCGAGUGGCGAACGGGUGAGUAACACGUGAGUAACCUGCCCUUGACUUUGUGAUAACUUCAGGAAACUGGGGCUAAUACCGGAUAGGAGCUCCUGCUGCAUGGUGGGGGUUGGAAAGUUUCGGCGGUUGGGGAUGGACUCGCGGCUUAUCAGCUUGUUGGUGGGGUAGUGGCUUACCAAGGCUUUGACGGGUAGCCGGCCUGAGAGGGUGAACGGCCACAUUGGGACUGAGAUACGGCCCAGUAUCCUACGGGAGGCAGCAGUGGGGAAUCUUGCACAAUGGGCGGAAGCCUGAUGCAGCAACGCCGCGUGCGGGAUGCCGGCCUUCGGGUUAUAAACCGCUUUCGCCUGUGACGAAGCGUGAGUGACGGUAAUGGGUAAAGAAGCACCGGCUAACUACGUG